UACGUAGGGUGCGAGCGUUGUCCGGAAUUAUUGGGCGUAAAGAGCUCGUAGGCGGUCUGUCGCGUCGGUCGUGAAAACUUGGGGCUUAACCCUGAGCUUGCGGUCGAUACGGGCAUGACUGGAGUUCGGUAGGGGAGAACGGAAUUCCCGGUGUAGCGGUGAAAUGCGCAGAUAUCGGGAGGAACACCGGUGGCGAAGGCGGUUCUCUGGGCCUGUACUGACGCUGAGGAGCGAAAGCGUGGGGAGCGAACAGG
rnacentral:rRNA from 1 species